rnacentral:lncRNA from 1 species
CUUGUUGGCAACUUGCUACAAGGUUGUUGAGCUCAACAGACUUGUUACAAGUUGUUCCAACAACUUGUUAUCGUCCUGCAAUUCAACAAGUUGUGAGUGACAACCUUGUAGCAACUUGAUAAAAUAACAGCAUUGUUACAACUUGUUGACAAACUCGCUACGACAAAGUCUGUUGCGAACACAUCUUGUUGACAAGUUGUGAG